rnacentral:lncRNA from 1 species
ACUGCAGAGCCUGUCCGUCAGUCCCUAGGUAUCCGCACUGCUCAGGGGAGGAUUCCCUGGGAGCACCCACCAGCUGAGAUCUGCACAUCAGCCACAAUCCUCUCAGGACGGCGGAAAGGGAAGGGCUCAGCCGCCAGCCUGGCCACAGCCUGCAUCAUCUCAUCCCAGAGGCGGAGCACAGGCUCGGGGUCCUUCAGGGCCUGAAGGAGGUAGAGCCCGGUACUCACCCAGCAAUCAUUGUUGCCUGACAAAAGUCACAGAGAAGGCUCAGUUCUUCCUUCCUAUCUCUGAGAUCCCCUCCAGGAGCUGCUGCUGGUCCUGCCUGACAUCCUCCCCAUACCUGGAAGAGACAGGAGAAACAAUGAGGCUACAGUCAGUUAAUGAGCCACUGAAUCGAACUCAUUGAGUAGAGAAAUCUAUGUGCAGAUGGAGUUUCGCUCUGUCGCCAGGCUAGAGUGCAGUGGCACAAUCUCGGCUCACUGCAACCUCCACCUACCGGGUUCAAGCAAUUCUACUGCCUCAGCCUCCCGAGAAGCUGGGACUACAGG